CACGUAGUUAGCCGCAGCUUCUUCUCCCCGUACCGUCAUAAUCUUCCGGGUCGAAAGAGCUUUACACCCCGAAGGGCGUCAUCACUCACGCGGCGUCGCUGCAUCAGGGUUUCCCCCAUUGUGCAAGAUUCCCCACUGCUGCCUCCCGUAGGAGUCUGGCCCGUGUUUCAGUGCCAGUGUGGCCGUGUGCCCUCUCAGGCCGGCUACCGAUCGUCGCCUUGGUAGGCUCUUACCCUGCCAACUAGCUAAUCGGCCGCGGGCUCCUCUUCCGGCGACUUUCGCCUUUCCCUUCCCAGGAUUAUGCGGUAUUAGCUCCGGUUUCCCAGAGUUAUUCCCCACCAGAAGGUAGAUUACCCACGUGUUACUCACCCGUACGCCACUUUACUCAGGGAUUGCUCCCCUUUCUCGUUCGACUUGCAUGUGUUAAGCGCGCCGCCAGCGUUGAUUCUGAGCCAGGAUCAAACUC
rnacentral:rRNA from 1 species